GACGUAGGUGGCGAGCGUUAUCCGGAUUUACUGGGCGUAAAGCGCGUGCAGGCGGUUCGAUAAGUCGGGCAUGAAAUCUCCUGGCUCAACUAGGAGAGGCUGUCCGAUACUACCGGACUUGAGGGCAGUAGAGGGAGGCGGAAUUCCGGGUGUAGUGGUGAAAUGCGUAGAUAUCCGGAGGAACACCGGUGGCGAAGGCGGCCUCCUGGACUGCUCCUGACGCUCAUACGCGAAAGCUAGGGGAGCGAACGGG
rnacentral:rRNA from 1 species